UGCGCCCAGAGGACGCGGCCUUGGCCAAUCCCAGGGCUACAGGGCGCUUUUAAAAUGCAGGAACCUACUUCAGGGAACCACAGAGGCCAAAUUCAGAAUCCCUACUUGAACCACUGACCUUUUGCCCUCUCCAAGGCCGGAAGCAAGCCCUUGCCUGCUGCACGCCUCAGUUGCCCCGUCUGUAAAGUGGGCAGCCCAUCAAAUUCACAUCUCCCUGGCUGAGAGUCAUCUGGAGAAAUAAUGAGUAUGUGACCUAAUGAAAAUUGCACGGUGCCUGCCAAGCGAAGUGGGUAAGCCACUGGCCCAGCACUGUCAUUACAGGAAGUAAAGCAGUGCGUGGGCUGAUGACUGGCAAGGGGUGCCGGAACCUUUCAUCAUGGGUUCCCUUGGGAGGCCAGGUAGGUCAGCUUUAAAAACACACAGUGCUGCGGGGCCUGCCUUCCUGUGGUUUCCAGGCCAGAUUGUCCAGAACUCUGCCUGUGCAGCCCCGCCCCCUGCAAGCAGGAAUCAAUGCACCUGAGUAGCCUCCUCCCAUCUGCAGAGGAGGAAGCUAAGGUGUAGUGGGGGUCAAGGUACUGGCCUAAGGUCCCACAGCCAAGGGGUGGCUGGGAGGUGCAGCCAGGUCUGCCUGGCACAGAGUCUGGUCUCCUGACCACGACGCCAAGCUUGUUAUUACCAUCACCACAAUAGAAUACUAAUAAUAGUUGUCAUAAUUAUUAUUAUUGUGGAGGGCUGGUCUCCAGGCAGGCAGGUCUGGGUUGCUGCAUCACUGGGGACAGAUGGCUGGCUAGUGCCCACAAUGAGGCAGGGUCCUGUCCCAACCAGCACUAGGAGAAUGCUGGACACGGGAGGCUGAGCCCAUCCUGCAGCCUGGGUCAGCAGCCUGGGGCCUCACCCCACCCUCCAUCCAAUGCCGGGCGCAGGCGGCCUCUCCAAUGCCCAUCUGCCCUGGAGGGCUCUGGUGAUAGAUACAGUGGAGAUUCGUUGAUAUGAACAUUAAACAUUCAACCAGA